UUGGACCUGAUAUCAGACAAGACUACCCGCU
rnacentral:rRNA from 2 species